CUAUCCACGAACCGCUAUGUUUGGUAUUUUGACUGUAUUAAGUAAUCCCGAAAGAGACCAACCGCACAGCCUGAAUUCAUGGAACUCUUUUGGGCAGGAGCCUCAUGUGCGGUCGGUCAAAAUAUGACUUCCAUGGAAAUCCUGAACCCCUGAACUGAUCUGGGUAAUUUUUACAUAUGUUGGUCACCCAGAUUGGGCCUAUCAGGGUAUGUAGGGGGGUUCCAUGGGUUUUA